rnacentral:rRNA from 1 species
GGCUCAGGACGAACGCUGGCGGCGUGCUUAACACAUGCAAGUCGAACGAUGAACCACUUCGGUGGGGAUUAGUGGCGAACGGGUGAGUAACACGUGGGCAACMUGCCCUUCACUCUGGGACAAGCCCUGGAAACGGGGUCUAAUACCGGAUACCACUACCGCAGGCAUCUGUGGUGGUUGAAAGCUCCGGCGGUGAAGGAUGAGCCCGCGGCCUAUCAGCUUGUUGGUGAGGUAAUGGCUCACCAAGGCGACGACGGGUAGCCGGCCUGAGAGGGCGACCGGCCACACUGGGACUGAGACACGGCCCAGACUCCUACGGGAGGCAGCAGUGGGGAAUAUUGCACAAUGGGCGAAAGCCUGAUGCAGCGACGCCGCGUGAGGGAUGACGGCCUUCGGGUUGUAAACCUCUUUCAGCAGGGAAGAAGCGAAAGU